AGGAUCAACGCUGGCGGCGCGCCUAAUGCAUGCAAGUCGGACGGGGUUGCUUUCGGGUAACUCACGUGGCGGACGGGCGAGGAACACGUGGGCAACCUGCCCUGAGGUGGGGGUAGCCGCCGGAAACGGUGGGUAAUUCCGCGUACGCUGGUUGGUCGGUAGGGCUGAUCAGGAAAGGUGCGAAUCGCCUUAGGAGGGGCCUGCGGCGGAUUAGCUAGUUGGUGUGGGUAACGGCUCACCAAGGCGAUGAUCCGUAGCUGGUCUGAGAGGACGGCCAGCCGCAGGGGGACUGAGAGACGGCCCCCACUCCUACGGGAGGCAGCAGCAAGGAAUCUUCCGCAAUGGGCGAAAGCCUGACGGAGCGACGCCGCGUGUGGGAGGACGCCUUUCGGGGUGUAAACCACUUUUCUUGGGGAAGAUGAUGACGGUACCCGAGGAAUAAGGCCCGGCAAACUACGUGCCAGCAGCCGC
rnacentral:rRNA from 1 species